rnacentral:rRNA from 1 species
UCAGGACGAACGCUGGCGGCGUGCUUAACACAUGCAAGUCGAACGGAAAGGUCUCUUCGGAGAUACUCGAGUGGCGAACGGGUGAGUAACACGUGGGUAAUCUGCCCUGCACUUCGGGAUAAGCCUGGGAAACUGGGUCUAAUACCGGAUAGGACCAAAAGGCGCAUGCCUUGUGGUGGAAAGCUUUUGCGGUGUGGGAUGGGCCCGCGGCCUAUCAGCUUGUUGGUGGGGUGACGGCCUACCAAGGCGACGACGGGUAGCCGGCCUGAGAGGGUGUCCGGCCACACUGGGACUGAGAUACGGCCCAGACUCCUACGGGAGGCAGCAGUGGGGAAUAUUGCACAAUGGGCGCAAGCCUGAUGCAGCGACGCCGCGUGGGGGAUGACGGCCUUCGGGUUGUAAACCUCUUUCACCAUCGACGAAGGUCCGGGUUUCUCGGAUUGACGGUAGGUGGAGAAGAAGCACCGGCCAACUACGUGCCAGCAGCCGCGGUAAUACGUAGGGUGCGAGCGUUGUCCGGAAUUACUGGGCGUAAAGAGCUCGUAGGUGGUUUGUCGCGUUGUUCGUGAAAUCUCACGGCUUAACUGUGAGCGUGCGGGCGAUACGGGCAGACUGGAGUACUGCAGGGGAGACUGGAAUUCCUGGUGUAGCGGUGGAAUGCGCAGAUAUCAGGAGGAACACCGGUGGCGAAGGCGGGUCUCUGGGCAGUAACUGAC